AUGUUCUUCUUCUGGUUGUUGCUUAUUAAUUGUUUGGCACUCAUCUCCCCUGAACUAACUUUCAGUGAUCUGUACUCAUGUCGGUACCGCCUCAUCGACCAAGGAUCUACGGCGACGGCGGCACCAGCGACCCCAUGGAGGCGGCACCGAAACCCUAGCCGCUACUGCUCUCCACUGAGUCCCCUCCUCAUCUCCUCCCUCGUGCGAUGCUCUGCUUCAUCUUUUCUCAAACCUCCACCAGUCAAAUUCGGCCGGGAAAAAGGAACACCUACAUACAUAUCAUCGGGUAGUGGCCUGACAAAAUGUUACAUAUAUCAGUUUUGUCAUUUAAGCCCAUUUGAUGUCGUCUUCAUAACUCUGUCUAUCAAGCUAUGGUGUGGAAUAUUAACUGGGGAUUUUGACACACAGAUGUUCAAGCUGGAGGAUAGUGGCGAUGGAAUAUGGAUCAAUGAGAUGAAGAAAGGUGUUGAUGUCAAGUACGAGAAUGAUGGAAGGAUCUUGUGCUAUAUGGGAGGGCUAGCUGAUGUUGGUUGGCAAAACAAACCCCAUCAGACAGUUGGUCAGGAAAAGCUAAUGCAAGGCCCAACAGAAUGUUGGUCGGGAAAGAAUGCCCUGUCCGAUAGUCGGUCGGGAAAGGCCCAUGACAGCCCCAAUGGAUUGUUGGUCGGGAAAGAAUACUCUGACUGA
rnacentral:rRNA from 1 species